GACGAACGCUGGCGGCGUGCUUAACACAUGCAAGUCGAACGGUAAGGCCCUUCGGGGUACACGAGUGGCGAACGGGUGAGUAACACGUGGGUGAUCUGCCCUGCACUUCGGGAUAAGCCUGGGAAACUGGGUCUAAUACCGGAUAGGACCACUGCCUGCAUGGGGGGUGGUGGAAAGCUUUUGCGGUGUGGGAUGGGCCCGCGGCCUAUCGGCUUGUUGGUGGGGUGAUGGCCUACCAAGGAGACGACGGGUAGCCGGCCUGAGAGGGUGACCGGCCACACUGGGAGUGAGAUACGGCCCAGACUCCUACGGGGGGCAGCAGUGGGGAAUAUUGCACAAUGGGCGCAAGCCUGAUGCAGCGACGCCGCGUGAGGGAUGACGGCCUUCGGGUUGUAAACCUCUUUCAGCACCGACGAAGCGCAAGUGACGGUAGGUGCAGAAGAAGGACCGGCCAACUACGUGCCAGCAGCCGCCGUAA
rnacentral:rRNA from 1 species